UAGGCUGUUUAACAUACUUCUCUUAAAUGCUAAUUUUGGUGAGAACAAUAUUGAGUAAUAGUAUAUCCUUCUCCCUUGAACAUGCAAGUCCACCCUUGUUUUAUCACAAAACUGUGACGAGAUAAACUGUUAAAAAUAAAACUGAACUUCUUCCAAACAACCCCAGAGUGUGAGUUCUCCAUCUGCCCUCUGCCCCAUUUCUGGGAAACAUGUCUACUGAAGGAAGAAUUUGAAAAUGUUAAAGAAUAAUUACCUGUUUGGAUGCUAUUAAAGUUUUGUAAAUGUUAACAAUGUGAGUAGACAUGUGCAUGAAUAUUAGAACACCUUCUUUUGUCCACUAUUGCAGAGACUGCAGUGGUACACACCCCCAUGAUGCUGAUUCAGUGGACAUGAACUGAGGUGUUGAAGUGACCUGCAAGUGAAGAAUGGGAGGACCCUCUACUUCCUAAAGAAGUGCUUCCUGAAAGAAAGCACUAAUAAUAUUAGAAAGUGUGUGAAUCAACCUUCUGGACCAAAAGAUGGUCUGGACAUGGAAAAAGAUGAAGUUGUGUUACUAAAAUACCUUCGUACAUUUCAAGAGGUGGUGCUGAGAGCUGCAAUGCCAGCUCAAUCAAAGCUCUGAUAUUUGCUGCUAUCUCCAUGCAUGUUUACAGCAGCUGACAUAUGAAAAGCCAGGGAAUAAUUUGAGUUUGCAAGCUAUGAAAUAAGUCCAUUUUGGAUCUGAA